GACGAACGCUGGCGGCGUGCUUAACACAUGCAAGUCGAACGCUGAACCCGCUUCGGUGGGGGAUGAGUGGCGAACGGGUGAGUAACACGUGGGCAACCUGCCCCCGGCUCUGGGAUAACUCCAAGAAAUUGGGGCUAAUACCGGAUGUGACCGCUGGCCGCAUGGUCUGGUGGUGGAAAGGGUUUCCGGCUGGGGAUGGGCCCGCGGCCUAUCAGCUUGUUGGUGGGGUAGUGGCCUACCAAGGCGACGACGGGUAGCCGGCCUGGGAGGGUGACCGGCCACACUGGGACUGAGAGACGGCCCAGACGCCUACGGGAGGCAGCAGUGGGGAAUAUUGCGGAAUGGGCGGAAGCCUGACGCAGCGACGCCGCGUGGGGGAUGACGGCCUUCGGGUGGUAAACCUCUUUCAGCAGGGACGAAGCGCAAGUGACGGUACCUGCAGAAGAAGCACCGGCCAACUACGU
rnacentral:rRNA from 1 species